rnacentral:rRNA from 1 species
AACCUUUACACUGCACGAAAGUGCGAUAGGGGAAUCCCAAGUGCGAGGGCAUAUUAGCCCUCGCUUUUGUUGACUCUAAGGCGGUCAACGAAUAAGAGCUGGGCAAGACCGGUGCCAGCCGCCGCGGUAAUACCGGCAGCUCAAGUGAUGUCCCAUAUUAUUGGGCCUAAAGCGUCCGUAGCUGGGCGACCAAGUCUAUCGGGAAAUCCACCUGCCCAACAGGUGGGCGUCCGGUAGAAACUGGCCGGCUUGGAACCGGAAGGCUCAGAGAGUACGUCCGGGGUAGGAGUGAAAUCCCGUAAUCCCGGACGGACUACCGAUGGCGAAAGCACUCUGAGAAGACGGCUUCGACAGUGAGGGACGAAAGCUCGGGUCUCAAACCGGAUUAGAUACCCGGGUAGUCCGAGCCGUAAACAAUGCUCGUUAGGUGUGGCACCCACUACGAGUGGGUGCUGUGCCGCAGGGUAGCCGCUAAACGAGC